rnacentral:lncRNA from 1 species
CCUCUGACAAUGAGGAAACGGUGUCUUGCUGUCUGGCUAAGAAGUCGAUGCACCGUUCUGUGGAUUUAUUUCUAUAUCUAAAGAGCUCCACAACUUUAAAAAAAGGAAAUACACACGGCUACUUUGGAGUUAAAGGAGGAUUUAAGUAGUUAGCUCGUUAACGUUAUUUAUAUUAAUUACAUUUUUCAUGCGUGACAUUAAUCGUUGCGCGGCCUUGGCUUUGGAACAACGGCGUCAUCACCUGCAAAACAAAAGCUUAACAAACUCCUACCUAUAUUUUAUGUUCAAGCAUCAAUGGGAAACUUCGCAGCAGCAGCAAAAAGGGCAUUCUACAAGGAAAAGGUUGACAAUGCUACAGACGGUAAGAAACUUUUAUCUACUUUAUCUCCUUUACCCUCAUAACCCCUCUAACAGCAUUAAACUUCUACGGGAUACUGAUGAAUGGGAUAAUGGUCAGAACAUGAUUUAUUUCUGUGUGGCGUUCUGCUUAUUUUCAAAGUGUGCACAUUAGCUUAUACAUGUGUGUUUGAUGUAGCAGGGAUAACUUAAAACUCUUGACGUACUAUAUGCUUUGAGCAUUCAACACUGCAAAUACAAUUUUAAGAAUUCAGUUAUGUACAGUUAUGUAGAAUUCUCUGUAGAGAGGGAUUCUUUCAAUAUGCCACCCAUCCCAAUUUGACAUUCAUUAUUGUUUGUUUAAAUUAUGCUCUAAAAUCAGUUUGAUGACUCGAAGGACACAUUUAAAAGGAAGUGUCCCUCAGUGUUAUUCUUCUAUGUUUUUCUUUCAGUUUGUAAACCGUUGUUUGAACAGCUGAACUUUGUAACUAUUGGAUGCCACUGUGCUGGGAAAAGUGAAGUAUGUAAUGCCAUACUUGGGAAAAAGACAUUUAGAUUUUGGUACUUAUGGAAAAAAACGCAUGUGAAGGAUACACAUGAAGCAAGUGGGAGGAGAAUAACAGUUACCCGUGCACCUGGCUGGAAUGAGAACAACCUCAGCCAACGUAAAGUACAAACAGAGAUAUUGUCCUGUGUAAAUAAGUCCUUCAAAGCUGGACUUCAUGCGGUUGUCUUUGUUGUGAAUGCUAAUAGACCCUUCUCAGAUCAAACAACCAGAACCCUAGAAGGGUUUCUCCCAGAGAAGGUGUGGGAUCAUACCAUCGUGGUGCUUCAUAAUGCAGAAGCUGAUGGUGAUGAGCUUGACGCCAUCUUACAGACAGACAGAUCUCUCCAGAACCUCAUUCAGAAAUGUGGAAACCGAUGUUGUGUACUCAACAGGAAAUCCAUAUGUGGUG